GGGUGACCUCAGAUCAGGUAGGGAUACCC
rnacentral:rRNA from 1 species